UACGGAGGGUGCGAGCGUUAUCCGGAAUUACUGGGUUUAAAGGGUGCGUAGGCGGUCAUGUAAGUCAGGAGUGAAAGUUUGCGGCUCAACCGUAAAAUUGCUUUUGAUACUGCAUGGCUGGAAUUAGGAUGAGGUCAGCGGAAUGUGGCAUGUAGCGGUGAAAUGCAUAGAUAUGCCAUAGAACACCAAUUGCGAAGGCAGCUGGCUAGACCUGGAUUGACGCUGAGGCACGAAAGCGUGGGGAGCGAACAGG
rnacentral:rRNA from 1 species